CCUACGGGUGGCAGCAGUAGGGAAUCUUUCACAAUGGGCGAAAGCCUGAUGGAGCAACGCCGCGUGCAGGAUGAAGGCCUUCGGGUUGUAAACUGCUUUUAUAAGCGAGAAAUAUGAUGGUAACUUAUGAAUAAGGAACGGCUAACUACGUGCCAGCAGCCGCGGUCAUACGUAGGAUCCGAGCAUUAUCCGGAGUGACUGGGUGUAAAGAGUUGCGUAGGUGGCAUAAUAAGUAGCUAGUGAAAUCUGGUGGCUCAACCAUUCAGACUAUUAGCUAAACUGUUAAGCUCGAGACCGUUAGUGGUAACUGGAAUUUCUAGUGUAGGAGUGAAAUCCGUAGAUAUUAGAAGGAACACCAAUAGCGUAGGCAGGUUGCUGGGACGGUUCUGACACUGAGGCACGAAAGCGUAGGGAGCAAACGGGAUUAGAUACCCGAGUAGUC
rnacentral:rRNA from 1 species